rnacentral:sRNA from 1 species
GUCCGCGGGAAUUUGAAGUGCCUGACUGGGUGGCCGGGAGACGGAGUCUCGGGGUCGCGUGCACCUGGGCGGCCAGGGAGGCUCCAGUGCCCGGGAGAAAGGCAAGAAAACUGAGGCACAGAGAGAUUGUCACACAGCCAGUAAGGUUUCUUUCAAAAUGAAGAUUCACGCAGUGAUUGUAACUGUCUUGAUGAGCCAGGUUGUAGUUUACAAAGUUUUAUUCCAGAAGGAAAAAAGCCACUUCACCUAGAAAUUUUGCAAACAAAUCAACUUUUACUCUGUGAGUAAUCCAGGGCCUAUCAAGACUACAUUUUAGUUAACUGCAAGGCCUCUGAGGCACGGGAAUUCACAGCUGAGUUCUUGGAGAAGGUCCUUGAGCCAUCUGGAUGGCGGACAGUCUGGCACAUGAUGUGCUCAAGGUGCUGCUUGAGGCCACAGAUGUGGACAUUUCAGCCUUGGAGGCAGUGGUGCAGCUUGCUGAGCCAUACCUCUGUGAAUCUUGAGCGAGUACUUUCACCUUGGAGUGUAUGAAAGAGCUCCUCGAGCUGAAGGAACAUCAGUUGCCCCUGCAGGAGCUGGGUGGUGUUUGAUGAUUCUGGAGUGUUUGACCAGACAGCACUUGUAACUGAGCAUGUCAGCUAGGAAGGAUAGCCGCUGAGCAAGCCUGUAAGGCUAUUGGUCUGCCCAUUCUGGUUUCUUCACCAAUGAGAAAACUGGGACCUGGGGAGUUUGCAGAAGCCAUCCAAGGGCACCUGCUUCUCACAGCACAGCAGCUUCCUGCAGCCCUCCCUCCUGUCUUGUUUCUCCCUUGGUUGAGAGGGGAGGCCAGAACCAGAUGCAGGCAGUUCCAACAGUAAUGAAUUGCUCUAAGGUGUGGAGCCAAGAACCGGUGACAAGGUCAGGAAAUUCCAUCCCAGGACACUGACCCAACUAAGAGACUGUGCAUGAUGGCUAAGUUCAGAGCUCUGAGGAGAUGGUAAAACUCAUUUGCAAUGAAACAAGAUAUUUCCCAACUCUGCAGCCAGAAACCAUCCUCCUGGCUGUCUCACCAUCAGCGCCACCUCUCCGUGGGUCUGGAGUCUUGAGGAGCCAGGACUGGACUGGGAUGUGAGGCUGGGUCUUCCGAGCCGUAGAUGGGAGCAGGAAGAUGUAUCUCCAUUCACGAUCUCAGUACAAGGCUCAGCUAUCUCCCGGCAACUCGCCCAUCAUCUGUUUCUGAGUUCUUCUGACAUACAGGUGCAGAAAGCUGGAAGUGAUGCUCCAGGGAGUUUAUGUCUCCCCAUCUUGACCCACACCAAUACCUGAGGCUCAUUGCUUUGAUUCAAGUCCGGACAAGCUCUAAGGUUCAGCUCACACUGGCAGUCACACUGCAGGUGCAAGCAAGAAUAGGGCUUGAAUCACACCCCUACUUGAUUUCUCCGUCUCCCUCCUCCUUCCUACUUCUCCCAGGAGCACCAUAGAAAAUUCCUGGAGCUCCUGGGAGUCUGUGAACGGUGGUGAUGCAGAAAAGCAAAGCGUGUGUAUCUGUUUUAGUCCUACCUCAGAUCUGCUGAAGACACCUUGAGCCUGAAGUGAAAUCACAGUGGCUCUCAGGAAGAAGGGUGACUGUCUGGUGUGCAGUUGUGCUGCCACGGCAAAGGGAACUUUAAAACAUAGAACUGCCAUGUAGAGAAGCUCAGGAAAUAUCCAUGGUCUGUCAUCUCUUUUGGUCAUAGAAUCAAAAAAAAAUGGAAGACAAGAAAAGGCAGUGAAGACUGACAGCCUGUUGGUUGCUAUUCCAGUCGUGUCUGCUCCAUACGUGCCCUCCAUCUCAUCCCACCCAGUCAGUAUAUUUUCACCAGGCAGUGUUGCAGAAAUGUCUGUGGACUCCAGUUCUAUUGCAGUCAGGCAGCAUUUACAGGUUUGACUUUCAACUGACCAUGGCAGGAAGUCUAGAGGCAAUUAUAGCCAACACCUGCUCUAUGUGCGUGCCGGGCAGGCGGUGGCUGAUUCCUUGCCUCCAAUCCAUGAUGUGUUUCCUAUCAGCUCAGAAUAAUAACAGCGACACCUCUGCUUCUUCUCUGUCUGGAGGAGCUCAAGGCACUUUACUCUGAAAACCCUCAAAUUACUGGCAUUUCUUUUAGUGAAGAUAUCAAAUUAAUGACUGAAAAAAAUGUAGAAGAUGGUUAUUGGUGAUGUUAAAAGACAAGUUUAACCCACUUCCACACAACAUGUCUUACAAGUGUAAAGUAUUUGAGUAGAGAAAACUAUGAAUCUAAAAUUGAACAAGAUGUGAAUUUAGACAGACAGCGUUUGUGGUCACAGAUGUGCUGAGAUGAAGACUGGAGGAAGGGCACAAUUUCUGUAGCAGUGACUUCCACCCAGGGUGUGUCUUGCUAUUGUGUGAAAUGAUUUUUGACACUGGACAAAUCUCUACUUCCACUUACAAUGUUUUGCCAGCUAGCUGAGGCAUUCUGGGAGGGUGAGGAGCCUGGGCUUGGGCUGACCUCAGGAAAUCCUGUGUAAAGGGCUUUUGCACACUCAGAAGCAGGCCAGGUUCACCGCUGUUAUGUGCAAUAAUCACUCCUGGCUCUUGCUUCUGAGCCUUGGCAAACCUGAGUCCUAAGAGGCCAAUGAAAAGGAAAACACAUUAAGGAGCCAGGGCGCUUCUUGGAUAUCAGCCUGAAUAGUUCUGUUUCAUCUGGAACCCAAUUUUACUCUCCUGCUGUUUUACACGGAACUAAAAAGAGCUUUACAGAGGACCAGAUUGACUGCAGGUCCCUAGGCAGUCAGGGGCCAGGCAAGGCAUAGGAGGGUGUCAGGCCUGUGAGCUCAAACUAGGCCAUCAUAUCCCCUGUGACCUGCACGUACACAUCCAGAUGGCUGGUUCCUGCCUUAACUGAUGGCAUUCCACCACAAAAGAAAUGAAAAUGGCCUGUUCCUGCCUUAACUGAUGACAUUGUCUUGUGAAAUUCCUUCUCCUGGCUCAUCCUGGCUCAAGAGCUCCCCUACUGAGCACGUUGUGACCCCCACUCCUGCCUGCCAGAGAACAACCCCCCUUUGACUGUAAUUUUCCUUUACCUACCCAAAUCCUAUAAAAUGGCCCCACCCCUAUCUCCCUUCACUAACUCUCUUUUCGGACUCAGCCUGCCUGCACCCAGGUGAAAUAAACAGCCUUGUUGCUCACACAAA